rnacentral:rRNA from 1 species
GGUGAAUACUGCAUAGGAAUCUACCCGGUAGUGGGGGAUAACCUGGGGAAACUCAGGCUAAUACCGCAUACGUCCUACGGGAGAAAGGGGGCUUCGGCUCCCGCUAUUGGAUGAGCCUAUGCCGGAUUAGCUGGUUGGUGAGGUAAUGGCUCACCAAGGCGACGAUCCGUAGCUGGUCUGAGAGGAUGAUCAGCCACAUCGGGACUGAGACACGGCCCGAACUCCUACGGGAGGCAGCAGUGGGGAAUAUUGGACAAUGGGGGCAACCCUGAUCCAGCCAUGCCGCGUGUGUGAAGAAGGCCCUCGGGUUGUAAAGCACUUUCAGCGAGGAAGAACGCCUGUCGGUUAAUACCCGGCAGGAAAGACAUCACUCGCAGAAGAAGCACCGGCUAACUCCGUGCCAGCAGCCGCGGUAAUACGGAGGGUGCAAGCGUUAAUCGGAAUUACUGGGCGUAAAGCGCGCGUAGGUGGCGUGAUAAGCCGGUUGUGAAAGCCCCGGGCUCAACCUGGGAACGGCAUCCGGAACUAUCAGGCUAGAGUGCAGGAGAGGAAGGUAGAAUUCCCGGUGUAGCGGUGAAAUGCGUAGAGAUCGGGAGGAAUACCAGUGGCGAAGGCGGCCUUCUGGACUGACACUGACACUGAGGUGCGAAAGCGUGGGUAGCAAACAGGAUUAGAUACCCUGGUAGUCCACGCCGUAAACGAUGUCGACCAGCCGUUGGGUGCCUAGCGCACUUUGUGGCGAAGUUAACGCGAUAAGUCGACCGCCUGGGGAGUACGGCCGCAAGGUUAAAACUCAAAU